rnacentral:rRNA from 1 species
CUUUCAACAACGGAUCUCUUGGCUCUCGCAUCGAU